UGCCAAUGUCUCGCUGACUAAGGGUGGAC
rnacentral:piRNA from 1 species